rnacentral:rRNA from 1 species
UGAGGAAUAUUGGUCAAUGGGCGUAAGCCUGAACCAGCCAAGUAGCGUGAGGGAAGACUGCCCUAUGGGUUGUAAACCUCUUUUGUGCGGGGAUAAAGUGAGGGACGUGUCCCUUAUUGCAGGUACCGCACGAAUAAGGACCGGCUAAUUCCGUGCCAGCAGCCGCGGUAAUACGGAAGGUCCGGGCGUUAUCCGGAUUUAUUGGGUUUAAAGGGAGCGCAGGCCGUCCUUUAAGCGUGCUGUGAAAUGCCGCGGCUCAACCGUGGCACUGCAGCGCGAACUGGAGGACUUGAGUACGCACGAGGUAGGCGGAAUUCGUGGUGUAGCGGUGAAAUGCUUAGAUAUCACGAAGAACUCCGAUUGCGAAGGCAGCUUACCGGAGCGCAACUGACGCUGAGGCUCGAAAGCGCGGGUAUCGAACAGGAUUAGAUACCCUGGUAGUCCGCGCGGUAAACGAUGGAUGCCCGCCGUUGGGAUUUGGAUUUCAGCGGCCAAGCGAAAGCGUUAAGCAUCCCACCUGGGGGAGUACGCCGGCAACGGUGAAACUCAAAGGAAUUGACGGGGGCCCGCACAAGCGGAGGAACAUGUGGUUUAAUUCGAUGAUACGCGAGGAACCUUACCCGGGCUUGAAUUGCAGGAGAACGAUCCAGAGAUGGUGAGGCCCUUCGGGGCUCCUGUGAAGGUGCUGCAUGGUUGUCGUCAGCUCGUGCCGUGAGGUGUCGGCUCAAGUGCCAUAACGAGCGCAACCCCUGUCCAUAGUUGCCAUCAGGUCGUGCUGGGCACUCUGUGGAGACUGCCGCCGUAAGGUGUGAGGAAGGUGGGGAUGACGUCAAAUCAGCACGGCCCUUACGUCCGGGGCUACACACGUGUUACAAUGGGGCAUACAGCGAGUCGGAUGUGCGCAAGUACGUCCGGAUCAAUAAAGUGCCUCUCAGUUCGGACUGGGGUCUGCAACCCGACCCCACGAAGCUGGAUUCGCUAGUAAUCGCGCAUCAGCCAUGGCGCGGUGAAUACGUUCCC